GUCGCUAGUUUGCGACCAUUUUGACUAGCAAACGUCGCAAGAUAUCGGAAAAUAAGAUUUCGAUGGAAUACCUCGCGACGAUAAGAUCAAUCGUCGCCAGUUUGCGACGAAUAAUAACAAACCGUCGCAAAGUGAAAAAAAAAAAUAAUGAAGCAAAUUCGUAGCGACGUUUUUAUAUAACCGACGCAAGAAAAAAAAAAUUUGCAAUUUUUUUUUUACCUUAGCGACGAAUGUUACGUAUUCGUCGCGAGUGCAAUUGUGAAAAAAAAAAUUUUAUUGGUUUGGCGACGAAUAAGGAUAAACGUAGCUAAUAAAGAGGAAAUAUUAAAUUAUAUUUAUUUGUAGCGACGAAACGAGUGGAUUCGUCGCAGGGCAAAUACUUUUUUAAAAGAAUUAUAUUUAUUAUUGGCGACGAUAGUGUUGUAAUCGUCGCCAAAAUAAUUAUGGAAAAAAUCUCGCUUUUCUAUAGCGACGUUUCUUACAGAAACGUCGCAUGUCUAAUUAAUUUUUUUUUGGUUAGCGACGAAAGUCCUUAAAAUGUCGCUACAUGAUUGGUUUGAAAUCUUUUGUGGCGACGAUUUGGUAGGAAUCGUCGCAACAAAACGAAUUAGAAGUCAGGCCCUAAUCCCCUUUUCCCCAAUUCUCUGAAUUUCUUCUCUCUCAUUUUCAAUCUUCCCUCCGCCGGCGCCCCCCUCCGCCGGGUCCUCCCCCUCCGCCUCCGUCGCCGCAGUCUGCCGCUGCUCUCCGCCGUCCGCCGCUGCUCUCCUCCGCCCAUCUCUCCGCCGCUGCUCUCCACCGUUAGCCCAUCUCUCCGCCCCCAUCUCUCCGCCGUCCGCCGCUGCUCUUCCCCGUUCGCCGCUGCUCUUCCCCGUUCGCCGCUGCUCCUCAAAUCAGAGAAGAGCAAAUAAAAAUAAUAAAAAGGAGCAAGGAUUAGCUAAAUCAAGAGCAGCAAUUAGCAAUUAAAAAAGCAGCUUCUAAUUUGCCGUUUGUUCCCGCCACCAGCCGUUACCGUCUGCCGCCAUUCCUUCUCCGUCUCCCUCAUUUCAAGUGACGAAAGCACGGCCAACUCAAUUGCGAUAGAAAAAGUGCUCGGGAAAAGCAAAGGGCUUGGAAUUAAGAUUGCAACCACCACAAAGAGUUCAAAGUUGAGAUUUUCUUCAAUUCCGCCGGAAGUGCAAAUGGAAAUGAAUUCAAUGAAAGAGCAAAUGCUACUUAAAGAUGAAAAAAUGGAAAGAUUGGAAGCGGAAUUGAAAGAAACCCGAGAAAUUGUGAACACCUUGGUCGGCCGUUUUGGACUACAAGCCUCGACAUCGACUCCUUCCAAUGAUGGUGGAGUAUAAAAAAGGGAUGAACUUUGUUUGGUUUUUGAAUUAAACUUUGCAACACUACAUUAUAUGCUUUUAAGUUUUAUGUACUUUUUAAAUUUAUGUUUUGUGCUACCUUGAUAUUUAAUCUGUAUAAUUGGUUUUAAUAUUUUCGAUAUAAGUGUAUUUUUUUUUACAA